CUCGCCCAUGCCCCAACGCCACGGCCUCUCCUUUGACGCAAUGCCACCGUGAAGAGGCUCCGCAUCACGGCGCAAAAGCUUCCAUCAAAAUUCAGUACGGGGCUGCGAAUCCUUGCACCAAGCACAUUCACUUAUCGAACAAAACUACCGGGACCGGUACCAAAGCUCGAAUGCGUUUAGCUGAACAAACAACCACAGAAAGUUACUUGUGAUCCUUCUCAGACUUUAACUGGCCAUUAAAAGUGUUACGGUGGCUUACGGGCGAUGUACGUGGUAAGGUAUAGAGGGAUACAACCCUUCCAUCUGCGGGACCGCGUUCAGGCACACACGCAGCCAGUCUGCACAACUGCUGCUUGAUACAGAUGUUGGAGGGGCAAAUACUUCUUAUCUGGGUCAAGAAAAUCGCCCCCCCCCCCCCCAACACGGUGCUGUGGGUACCCCCAGAGCCAGCCCUAUACACUCGAAAAGCCCGCAGGACGGUCGGGGAGGCUGAAGGGGACUAUUUUUCGCAGCACAUAGGUGACUGUUUGUACAGCCUGCAAGGCAGAAAAUGGAAGCUGUUUCAAACAUACAGCAAUCAAGGGUGAAAACAGCUCUGACACCAGCUGUUAUAUGUGCAGAGGUUUAUGGCUGGCUUUACAGCAGCACUAACUGCAGCUAGCAGAGGAUGGAUACACCCCCGGAUUUCAUAUUUUAAGAGGGAAAGAGACAGACUACAGACAACCUAAAGUUUCUAUGAAAACCAACAGUCUUCAACAAAAGCAGCGUGAAUUAAUAAGAGCGAAAGAAAAACAGAAGCUUUGUUCUAAAGUGGAAGCAUAAGAUGUGAAAUUUCAAAAUCAGAUGGCUUGGUCUGUGAUUUCUUUCAUUUAAAUGAAUUGAUCUGUUGCUAAACUGCUGCUCCCGUGCCAAGAAACUUUUAACUCUUUCGGCUCAAAGCUCGCCGUGCUUUGCUGUUUGCUCUCCCCUCCCAAGCGCACUACGAUUAAAGCAGAAGGCAGAAAUUAAAAACAAAAGGGGGGAAAUAAAAAACGAGAGCAUAAAAAACCAGGGGGAUUAAACCCACGAGCGCAUACAGGAGACAAAAGAGCCGCGAUAUGGAGCGCAUCGGGGCUUCGUUAGAACUUCUACUGUAUAAACAGCGUGAUUUGUGUUCUUACAGCGCUGCUAAAACUUGGAAAGGAGACAGAAAGGCCUUCAACCCUCACAAUUCCACAUCCAGCAACAACUCCGGGGCAAACCCAACAGAAACAGGGCUCGCAGCAAGAAAAACAACAGAAUCCCUGUCCUAAUUCAUUGUAAACAUUCACUUACCGAGAAUGCCUUAAGCAUUUCCAAUAGAACCCCCUUUCCUACACAUGUUCGCCUAUGUGGAAAGGAACAAAACAGCAAACCGAAAAGCUCUCCAAACCAGCCCGAAAGACAGCUGUUUUGGUAAAAAUUUAGGUGAGAGUUUCCUAGUGCUUUUCCGUUUUGCUUUGGGUUUGUUUUUCCCACUUAAAAAAUAAAAAAAUA